GAAAGCUAGCUUUGGAGCCAGCCCUGGCUGGAAAUAGGAAGUGAAAUGAAACUCUCUCCCUUCGCAGCUUUUGGCUAAAACCUUGGUAUUUCUUGCUGAGUCCACCUGCCUGAUGCCAUCGCUGAAAGACAAGCAAGAACACAUGGAGAAUGUGACUUUCAGGGAAUGAAUCGCUGGAACCAGAAGCCUGGAAGGAACUCCCUGCCAGCAGGAGGCAGCCAACUUUGGUUUCCAGGGCUCUGGAAAGGGAGCUCGCCCCUCGUUUACUUCUCUGGAAGCUCUGCGAGAGGAGGGCGGUGGCAGUCAUGGUCAUUCCCGUAUUUGAUUGCUGUCUGUUUACCCAGAAGACUGCAGGCUCCAUGAAGGGAGAGACCCCUGGGUGAAUCCAGUGCCUGGACAGCGCCCUGCUCAGCACCGUGAACAACAAGCGUGCCCUGAUGAGCAGCCACAGGGCGCGGAGGCGUGCCGUGAUCGGGACACGCUCAUCCCAGGAAACUCCAAACAGCUCCUCAGAGCUAUCAUAAAGGAAGUUAAG
rnacentral:lncRNA from 1 species